CUAAUUAGUUUAUUUUUCUCUCCAUCUCCCUUUCUCUCUCUUUCUUCACAGCCACUACCGACAAGGCUCUAGAUCUUCUCUCCCUCUUCUUGAUGUCGGAACCACACUCAUUGACGGCAGCAAGGUGAAGUGGAGCGAGGCGGCGCUGCUGGCAGCUCAACGCGGAGCAAGCGCGAUCUGAUCUGCCGAUUCAUUCGCGAGCUCCAUUUUUUUUGGGAUUUUUUUGUUUUUGUUUUUGAUUUCAUCUAUUGUGCUGUGGUGCGGUGGUGGUGGCUGUAGUGGUGGUGGUGUUUGUGGUGCUUUGAGGCGCUGGUAACAGGGACGCUGAUGGGAUUUUUCGGUGGUGCGAGCGCGAUCUAAUUCGUGGGCUCUUUUGUUGGGAUUUUUUGUUUUUGUUUUUGAUUCCAUCUAUUUUGCAGUGGUACGGUGGUGGUGGUGCUUUGAGGCAGUGGUGACUGUGGCGACGAUGGCAAGGCACAGUAGAGUGAGGUGGCGCUGCUGGGAUUUUUUGGUGGUGCGAUCACGAUCUGAUUCGUGAGCUCGAUUUUUUGGGACUUUUUGUUUUUGUUUUUGAUUCCAUCUAUUAUGUUGUGGUGCAGUGGUGGUGGCUGUAGAGUGGUGGUGUAUGCGGUGCUGUGUUGGGUAUGUUGGGAUUUUUCAGUGGUGGAGGCAGCGAUGCUGGGAGUUUUUGGUAGUGGUGCGUGCAAACUUGGUCGACAGAUGAAGCUGGGUUGUGUAUGCUGCAGUUGGAGAAGAAAAGUCAGUGACGAACUGAGGUGAGACGUCAAAAGGACUGUUGGAGCGUGGUGAUCCUUGACAAUCGGUAUGUUGGUGGCGAUAGUCGUAGCGGUGGUUGUGGGUGGGAUGAAAUGGGAUUGGAUUCCCGUGACCAAUUAUUUUGUUGAUUGUGACUCAUCAUUGAAUAUGUGACCUAAAAAUUGUGAUUGUGAUUCACAAUUUAUUAAGUUGUGACCGAAAAAUCAAUCGUGACCAAUUAAUUUAAUAACCUGCAAUGAGUAAAUGAGUUGUGACAAAUAAAAGUUUUGAUUUUGUGAUCGAUGAAAAAUUUGUGACCUAUAAAAUUUUUCGAUUCGUGAUCGAAAAAUAUUCUGUGACCUAUAAUUUUUUGAAUUUGUGAUCAUGAUAUGAUCUGUGACUUACAAAAUUUUGAUUUGUGACCUCGAACAAAUCUGUGGCCUAUAAAAUUUUUGAAUUCGUGACCCAAAAAUAUUCUGUGACCUAUAAAUUUUUUGAUUUGUGACCUCGAACAAAUCUAUGACCUAUAAAAU
rnacentral:lncRNA from 1 species